UAUUUUUUUGUUUUCCUCUGCUCAGAUUGAACGCUGGCGGCAGGCCUAACACAUGCAAGUCGAGCGGUAGCACAGAGAGCUUGCUCUCGGGUGACGAGCGGCGGACGGGUGAGUAAUGUCUGGGAAACUGCCUGAUGGAGGGGGAUAACUACUGGAAACGGUAGCUAAUACCGCAUAAUGUCGCAAGACCAAAGUGGGGGACCUUCGGGCCUCAUGCCAUCAGAUGUGCCCAGAUGGGAUUAGCUAGUAGGUGGGGUAACGGCUCACCUAGGCGACGAUCCCUAGCUGGUCUGAGAGGAUGACCAGCCACACUGGAACUGAGACACGGUCCAGACUCCUACGGGAGGCAGCAGUGGGGAAUAUUGCACAAUGGGCGCAAGCCUGAUGCAGCCAUGCCGCGUGUGUGAAGAAGGCCUUCGGGUUGUAAAGCACUUUCAGCGGGGAGGAAGGCGAUAAGGUUAAUAACCUUGUCGAUUGACGUUACCCGCAGAAGAAGCACCGGCUAACUCCGUGCCAGCAGCCGCGGUAAUACGGAGGGUGCAAGCGUUAAUCGGAAUUACUGGGCGUAAAGCGCACGCAGGCGGUCUGUCAAGUCGGAUGUGAAAUCCCCGGGCUCAACCUGGGAACUGCAUUCGAAACUGGCAGGCUAGAGUCUUGUAGAGGGGGGUAGAAUUCCAGGUGUAGCGGUGAAAUGCGUAGAGAUCUGGAGGAAUACCGGUGGCGAAGGCGGCCCCCUGGACAAAGACUGACGCUCAGGUGCGAAAGCGUGGGGAGCAAACAGGAUUAGAUACCCUGGUAGUCCACGCCGUAAACGAUGUCGAUUUGGAGGUUGUGCCCUUGAGGCGUGGCUUCCGGAGCUAACGCGUAAAUCGACCCGCCUG
rnacentral:rRNA from 1 species